GAUCCUGGCUCAGGAUGAACGCUAGCGACAGGCUUAACACAUGCAAGUCGAGGGGCGAGCAGUGAACUUAGCUUGCUAAGUUUGAUGGCGACCGGCGCACGGGUGAGUAACGCGUAUGCAACUUGCCUAUCGAGAGGAGUAAUAAGACUCAUCGAAGAUGAAUUAAUGCUCCAUAAAACAGGGGUCCCGCAUGGGAAUAUUUGUUAAAGAUUCAUCGCUG
rnacentral:rRNA from 1 species